GUGGGGAAUAUUGGACAAUGGGCGCAAGCCUGAUCCAGCCAUGCCGCGUGGAUGAUGAAGGCCCUAGGGUUGUAAAGUCCUUUUAACGGGGAAGAUAAUGACGGUACCCGUAGAAUAAGCCCCGGCUAACUUCGUGCCAGCAGCCGCGGUAAUACGAAGGGGGCUAGCGUUGCUCGGAAUUACUGGGCGUAAAGCGCACGUAGGCGGUCUUUUAAGUCGGAGGUGAAAUCCUGGAGCUCAACUCCAGAACUGCCUUCGAUACUGGAAGACUUGAGUCCGGGAGAGGUGAGUGGAACUGCGAGUGUAGAGGUGAAAUUCGUAGAUAUUCGCAAGAACACCAGUGGCGAAGGCGGCUCACUGGCCCGGUACUGACGCUGAGGUGCGAAAGCGUGGGGAGCAAACAGG
rnacentral:rRNA from 1 species